UACGAAGGGGGCUAGCGUUGUUCGGAAUUACUGGGCGUAAAGCGCGCGUAGGCGGCUUUGUAAGUUAGAGGUGAAAGCCCGGAGCUCAACUCCGGAACUGCCUUUAAAACUGCAUCGCUUGAAUCCAGGAGAGGUGAGUGGAAUUCCGAGUGUAGAGGUGAAAUUCGUAGAUAUUCGGAAGAACACCAGUGGCGAAGGCGGCUCACUGGACUGGUAUUGACGCUGAGGUGCGAAAGCGUGGGGAGCUAACAGG
rnacentral:rRNA from 1 species